rnacentral:rRNA from 1 species
UACGUAGGGGGCUAGCGUUGUCCGGAAUCAUUGGGCGUAAAGCGCGUGUAGGCGGUCCGGUAAGUCCGCUGUGAAAGUCGAGGGCUCAACCCUCGAAUGCCGGUGGAUACUGUCGGGCUAGAGUACGGAAGAGGCGAGUGGAAUUCCCGGUGUAGUGGUGAAAUGCGUAGAUAUCGGGAGGAACACCAGUGGCGAAGGCGGGUCUCUGGGCAACAACUGACGCUGAGGAGCGAAAGCGUGGGGAGCGAACAGG